rnacentral:rRNA from 1 species
GACGAACGCUGGCGGCGUGCUUAACACAUGCAAGUCGAACGGAAAGGCCCUGCUUGCAGGGUACUCGAGGGGCGAACGGGUGAGUCACGCGUGGGUGAUCUGCCCUGCACUUCGGGAUAAGCCUGGGAAACUGGGUUUAAUACCGGAACGGAGCCAUUUUUAGUGUGAGGGUGGGAAAGUUUUUUCGGUGUGGUGUGAGCGCGCGGCCUAUCCUCUUGUUGGUGGGGUAAUGGCCUACCAAGGCGGCGACGGGUAGCCGGCCUGAGAGGGUGGACGGACACAUUGGGACUGAGAUACGGCCCAGACUCCUACGGGGGGCAGCAGUAGGGAAUAUUGCACAAUGGGCGCAAGCCUGAUGCAGCGACGCCGCGUGGGGGAUGACGGCCUUCGGGUUGUAAACUCCUUUCGCUAGGGACGAAGCUUUUUGUGACGGUACCUAGAGAAGAAGCACCGGCUAACUACGUG